CCCGCUGAACUUAAGCAUAUCAAUAAGCGGAGGAAAAGAAACCAACAGGGAUUGCCCCAGUAACGGCGAGUGAAGCGGCAACAGCUCAAAUUUGAAAUCUGGCCCCUCCGGGUCCGAGUUGUAAUUUGUAGAGGAUGCUUUUGGUGAGGUGCCGCCCGAGUUCCCUGGAACGGGACGCCACAGAGGGUGAGAGCCCCGUCUGGCUGGCCACCGAGCCUCUGUAAAGCUCCUUCGACGAGUCGAGUAGUUUGGGAAUGCUGCUCAAAAUGGGAGGUAUAUGUCUUCUAAAGCUAAAUAUUGGCCAGAGACCGAUAGCGCACAAGUAGAGUGAUCGAAAGAUGAAAAGCACCUUGAAAAGAGGGUAAAACAGUACGUGAAAUUGUUGAAAGGGAAACGCUUGAAGUCAGUCGCGUCGGCCGGAACUCAGCCUUGCUUCUGCUCGGCGCACUUUCCGGCCCGACGGGCCAGCAUCGGUUUCGUGGGGCGGACACUGGUGGGGGGAAGGUGGUGGCCCCUGGCCGCGUUAUAGCCUCCCGUCGCGAACGCCCCGUGGGACCGAGGAAUCCGGCGUGAGCCUGGGAUGCUGGCGUAAUGGCUUUAAACGACCCGUCUUGAAACACGG
rnacentral:rRNA from 1 species